rnacentral:misc_RNA from 1 species
UUGUUUGAUUGUUAUCAGGCUCGGACGACACUAAUAAACCGGGGUUGUGGUGGGCUUAUGGCGGGCACGCGCCGGCGAACCGGCAUGGGCUUGACCUCAAGGCCCGCCAAAGCAACGUCAAGGUAUGGUAUGCACGGGGUUGAGAGUCGGGGGCCGAAGCCCCCUGGGGCGCGAAGCCCCUCUCUGUAAUGAUCCUUCCGCAGGUUCACCUACGGAAA